UUGAUCUUAUCGGAGAGUAGCGCGCGCCUCAUGCCUCUCUUUCUUGGCUUCCGCUCUGCGUUCAGUCACAUUCACCACUUGAUGUGUCUCGGCACUGAACAGAAACUUGAACUAAAUUACAGGUUACAGCUUCUUGCUCCUUGAACUGUCAAGGAUGGAAGAGUAUUUGCAGUACACGAAGAUCUUGCGCUUACAAAUGAACGACGUGGAGGAUCAAGCUUUGAAGAACUCUGUCGAAGAGCGUAUGUACUUUCUUACUGCUCAAACCAUGGAGAUUUCACUUCUGGUUAAACUUGAAACGGCUAAGCGAGCCAGUGAAACGGAAGCAUCAGCUGAUACGGUUGGAGGUAGUUCUUGACCAACUAUCCCCCUAUUCUCUACAAUAUGUAUAAUGGUUUUCUUCAAAAUAGUUUUGCUUAUAAGUAGUUUUGCAGUUCAGAUUGAGAAUGGAUGAUCGAGUAAGGUUCAUGAGAUAUAUGCAGUCCUAGGCCACAAAUUCCAUUUUUUCGAGUCAGUACAAUAAAGCAUAUUUUGAUUCUUACAUUGGUAGUUGAUUUCACAC